rnacentral:rRNA from 1 species
UUAAAUUGAAGAGUUUGAUCAUGGCUCAGAUUGAACGCUGGCGGCAGGCCUAACACAUGCAAGUCGAACGGUAACAGGAAGAAGCUUGCUUCUUUGCUGACGAGUGGCGGACGGGUGAGUAAUGUCUGGGAAACUGCCUGAUGGAGGGGGAUAACUACUGGAAACGGUAGCUAAUACCGCAUAACGUCGCAAGACCAAAGAGGGGGACCUUCGGGCCUCUUGCCAUCGGAUGUGCCCAGAUGGGAUUAGCUUGUUGGUGGGGUAACGGCUCACCAAGGCGACGAUCCCUAGCUGGUCUGAGAGGAUGACCAGCCACACUGGAACUGAGACACGGUCCAGACUCCUACGGGAGGCAGCAGUGGGGAAUAUUGCACAAUGGGCGCAAGCCUGAUGCAGCCAUGCCGCGUGUAUGAAGAAGGCCUUCGGGUUGUAAAGUACUUUCAGCGGGGAGGAAGGGAGUAAAGUUAAUACCUUUGCUCAUUGACGUUACCCGCAGAAGAAGCACCGGCUAACUCCGUGCCAGCAGCCGCGGUAAUACGGAGGGUGCAAGCGUUAAUCGGAAUUACUGGGCGUAAAGCGCACGCAGGCGGUUUGUUAAGUCAGAUGUGAAAUCCCCGGGCUCAACCUGGGAACUGCAUCUGAUACUGGCAAGCUUGAGUCUCGUAGAGGGGGGUAGAAUUCCAGGUGUAGCGGUGAAAUGCGUAGAGAUCUGGAGGAAUACCGGUGGCGAAGGCGGCCCCCUGGACGAAGACUGACGCUCAGGUGCGAAAGCGUGGGGAGCAAACAGGAUUAGAUACCCUGGUAGUCCACGCCGUAAACGAUGUCGACUUGGAGGUUGUGCCCUUGAGGCGUGGCUUCCGGAGCUAACGCGUUAAGUCGACCGCCUGGGGAGUACGGCCGCAAGGUUAAAACUCAAAUGAAUUGACGGGGGCCCGCACAAGCGGUGGAGCAUGUGGUUUAAUUCGAUGCAACGCGAAGAACCUUACCUGGUCUUGACAUCCACAGAACCUUGUAGAGAUACGAGGGUGCCUUCGGGAACUGUGAGACAGGUGCUGCAUGGCUGUCGUCAGCUCGUGUUGUGAAAUGUUGGGUUAAGUCCCGCAACGAGCGCAACCCUUAUCCUUUGUUGCCAGCGGUCCGGCCGGGAACUCAAAGGAGACUGCCAGUGAUAAACUGGAGGAAGGUGGGGAUGACGUCAAGUCAUCAUGGCCCUUACGACCAGGGCUACACACGUGCUACAAUGGCGCAUACAAAGAGAAGCGACCUCGCGAGAGCAAGCGGACCUCAUAAAGUGCGUCGUAGUCCGGAUUGGAGUCUGCAACUCGACUCCAUGAAGUCGGAAUCGCUAGUAAUCGUGGAUCAGAAUGCCACGGUGAAUACGUUCCCGGGCCUUGUACACACCGCCCGUCACACCAUGGGAGUGGGUUGCAAAAGAAGUAGGUAGCUUAACCUUCGGGAGGGCGCUUACCACUUUGUGAUUCAUGACUGGGGUGAAGUCGUAACAAGGUAACCGUAGGGGAACCUGCGGUUGGAUCACCUCCUUACCUUAAAGAAGC